CUUGUUAUGUUUGUGACCAAACUACGACAUCUAGUGUCUAAAAGCUGUAAUAGCAAAGCUUUGAGUUAUUUUGAACCCUUGGUCUUGCCGUAGUUAUGUUGCCAUGGGUACGGACCGUUUUGUUUAUAGUCUAUGGUACGGACAUAAUCCUUCUUAUAUCGCGUUUGGAAAACAUUUGCCUGUAAGUAUUUUCAUAUACAGUGCUUUUAGUUCAGUUUCAUUGUUUCAGAUUGUUUGUGAUAAAGGUUAAAAGUCUAUUUUAAAACCGCCGACAGUGAAAUCUAUAUAUGCUAACCACUAGCAUGUCAAUGCAAUUUCCCAUGUAUGUUAGCAUCAAGCUAGCGCUUCGUGUCGUUAUAGCGCUGUUACCACAUGAGAGAGAUGUAACAUUUGUAUGGUUUCUCUUGCGUGAAACUAAUGUAUAUUUUCUUGUGUGUCCAGUUUUACAGUUUUUAUGAGUAAAGCUACAAACGGAAAAUCCUGAUUCAGAGUUUUUCUUGGGAAACUGUUAUCUAACUGCCAAGCUGAGAUAGCUGGGGCAGAAUAGUAAAAAGGCAACAUUUUUUGAACAAGCCAGCAGCCUUCCAUGCUGUAAGAGAAGACCUAUUACCAGUCAUGAUGACACAUAAUGAAGAAGAAAUGGACUUAUUGGAGACAAGAUCAGAAAUAUCCAGCUGCUCUAGAGCCAGUAAACUCUCAACAGCCAGCUCUCUUGCACUGAGAGCACGAGCAAAGGCAGAAGCUGCUCGCACUGAACUUUCAUUUGCAAAAAAGGAAGCUGAAAUGUUAAAACAACAAGCUAUACUACAAGCAAGCUUACAUGAGCUGAAAAUGGAAAAAGCUGCUGCAGCCGCAGAUGCAGAAGCUAAUGUGUUGGAAGCAGCUGCACAGGAUGAGUAUCAACAAUUCGGCUCUCCUCUUCUAGUGCAUAGACCUGUGAUGCCUCAGAUCCCAAUUGAGUUCCCCAGUGGAAGAGCUACAACACAGUCAUCAGUGCAAAAUCCUUUUCUUCAGCCAUACCAGAGUGCACAAACAGCUAAUACGCUACAUGCAAUCACAACCCCACCCGAUGCAAAGCCACCAGUAGGCACACGUCCACCAGCAUCCCAGCCAACCAUGGGCAAUGGUGAAACAGCAAAAAGCUGUGUGCUACAUAGUGAAACGCAGCGGAGUGAAAGCAGUGAGUAUGCAUUUGCUGAGUUAGCCCCGCAUCAUUCAUUCAAAAGAGAGGAUGCUUUGUACACAAUGCAUGCUAAUACUGUUAAAAAUGAGAGACAUUCUCACGGCUAUGGAGAGCCUCCUCAUAACAUCGAGCACACGAGUGACAAAUGUGUGCUUCCUCAGUCUCAUCCAGCUCAGUCAUCACCCUUACAUGACACCACCUCGUCCAAUCCAUCCGCUGCUAUCGACUUAGCAAAGUACCUGAUGCGUCGAGAGAUGGUGAGUUCCGGCUUAUUGACAUUUGACGAUAAACCAGAAAAUUACUGGGCUUGGAAAACAUCAUUCAUCAACUCCACAGAAGACUUGAAACUCUCUGCUAGAGAAGAACUCGAUCUUUUAUGCAAAUGGCUGGGUCCAUCUUCUUCUGAGCAAGCUAAAAGAAUCAGAGCAGUGCAUAUUCACAGUGCAUCCGCUGGCCUCCAGAUGGUAUGGCAGCGAUUAGAGGACAUCUAUGGCUCACCAGAAGUAAUUGAAGAUGCUCUACUGAAAAAAAUUGAUGAUUUUCCAAAAAUCACUGCAAAAGACAACCACAAGUUAAGACAGCUAGGAGACACUCUUAUGGAACUCGAGGCAGCUAGAGCAGAUGGAUACUUACCUGGCCUUAUGUACCUCAACACCUCGCGUGGUGUCAGCCCCAUAGUGCAGAAGCUACCGUACAACCUGCAAGAAAGGUGGAUCACGGUAGGAUCACGCUACAAAGAGCAACACAGAGUGUCAUAUCCUCCAUUCUCAGUCUUUGUGAACUUUGUUUGUGAAGAAGCAAAGGUGCGUAAUGAUCCAAGUUUUGCUAACAUAACGGGAACACUGUUUGCUACCAAGACAGAGAAAAGCUACUCACCCAACUAUCAGCCAUUUAACCAGCAUGUGAAAUCAACAGUAGCUGUAAGAAAGACAGAAAUCUCUUCAGAUGGCGAUCCUGACAAAUUGUGUCCUCUGCAUAAUAAGCCGCAUCCUCUGAGAAAGUGUCGUGGCUUCAGGAACAAAACAAUAGAGGAGAGAAAGGCGUAUCUGAAGGAAAAAUCAAUCUGUUUCCGCUGUUGUGCAUCCUCCACCCACAUUGCUAAAGACUGCAACAAACCUGUUCAGUGCAAAGAGUGCAAUAGUGACAGACACCCCUCAGCACUACACCCAGGGUCCGCUCCAUGGAAAACUGAUUUUCAAACAAACACUAGGGAGCAGCAAGGCGGGGAGCAGCAAGGCGAGGAGCAGCAAGGCAGGGAGCACCAAGCAGUAGCCGGUACAUCUGUGACGUCUAGAUGCACAGAAAUCUGCGGAGAUGUCAAUGCCUCAAAAUCCUGUUCCAAAAUCUGUCUUGUCUGGGUGUACCCUAAUGGACAGAGAGAGAGAGCGCUGAAGACCUACGCUGUUCUAGAUGAUCAAAGCAACAAAUCACUAGGCAGAUCAAAAUUCUUCGAACACUUUGGCCUUCAGGGAACAGGGUCAAUGUACACUCUAAAGACAUGCUCAGGAGUGGUAGAGACAUCAGGCCGACGUGCCAGCAACUUCAUUGUGGAGUCUCUGGAUGGCAAAACCCAGAUCUCUUUACCUACCUUGAUUGAAUGUGACUUGUUGCCAGACAACAGAUCUGAGAUUCCAUCACCAGAGGUAACAAGACAUUAUCCUCAUCUCAUGUGCCUGACAGAUAAGAUUCCAGCUCCGGACCCAGAUGCAUCCAUCUUACUCCUACUUGGACGUGAUAUGAUCCAAGCACACAAAGUCAGAGAACAGUGUAAUGGACCUAACAACGCUCCAUUUGCUCAAAGACUCGAUCUCGGAUGGGUAUUAAUUGGAGAUGUGUGCCUCGGAAGAGCGCACAAAACAAACAGUGUCAGUGCCUUCAAGACCAAUGUGCUUAUGAGUGGCCGUCACUCGAUGCUGGAACCCUGCACAAGCAACAUACUGGUAAAAGAGAAAAUCCAUUCUCCAGUGCUGCCUCACGCCCCUCCAGGUAUGUUUCAUGCAUCCAAUCCUAAAUACAACACAGACAGCCUUGGACAAGACGUGUUUCAAAGUACAGCACAUGAUGAAAAACUUGGCAUGUCAGUUGAAGACAAGUUGUUUCUCGACCUCAUGGAUAAAGAGGUUUACAUGGAUGAUGCUAAUUGCUGGGUGGCACCCCUGCCAUUCAGACCAAAUAGAUCACGCUUACCCAAUAACAGGCAGCAAGCGUUCAAUCGUCUCACAUCCCUGCGUCGUAUGCUGGAGAAGAAAAAGGGCAUGAAGGAUCACUUCUUCAAAUUCAUGCAAACAAUGUUCGACUCAGACCAAGCAGAGCCUGCACCAGCACUGACAACAGAACAGGAACGGUGGUACCUUCCAAUAUUUGGUGUUUAUCAUCCACAGAAAAAAGACCAAAUACGCGUAGUAUUUGACUCCAGUGCCAAACAUGAGGGCCUUUGUCUCAACGAUGUUCUCCUUAAGGGACCUGACAUGAACAAUUCAUUACUGGGAGUCUUAUUGCGUUUCCGUAAAGAACCUGUAGCAGUGAUGGCUGAUGUGCAAAAGAUGUUUUAUUGCUUUACUGUCCGUGAAGAGCACCGGGACUUUUUGCGCUUUUUGUGGUUUGAAGACAACAACCCAACCAAGCAGAUCACCGAAUACCGCAUGAAGGUUCAUGUAUUCGGGAAUUCUCCCUCUCCAGCAGUGGCCAUUUAUGGCUUAAGGAAGGCAGCCCUACAUGCAGAAGGAGAAGAUGGUACAGAAGCCAAGCAGUUCAUUAUGCGGAACUUCUACGUGGAUGAUGCCCUGGCCUCUUUCCCCACAAAUGAUGAAGCCAUCUCUGUCUUGAAAAGAACCAAAGACAUGCUAGCUGAGUCAAGCAUCAAGCUGCACAAGAUAGCCUCUAAUAGCCGUGUGGUGAUGGAUGCGUUCUCCCCAGAAGAACGGGCUAAAGACCUAGUCAACCUGGAGCUAACAAUCGACCCCUUGCCACUUCAGCACAGUUUGGGACUCACCUGGAGCUUGCAGACUGACACCUUCACCUUCUGUGUAUCUAGAGAGAAGAAGCCGUUCACCAGAAGGGGGAUCCUAUCCACUGUUAAUGGUAUCUACGACCCACUGGGAUUUGCAGCACCUGUUACAAUUCAAGGAAAGGCCUUAGUCAGAGAGUUGUCAGCCGAACAGUUUGAAUGGGACGCCCCUCUCCCAGCUGUGAAAGAAAAACAGUGGAGGCUGUGGACAGACUCAGUCCAUGAGCUUGAACAGCUUCAAAUAAAAAGGGCAUAUGUACCUGUUUCUUUGCGCUACAUUGAACACAGAGAACUCUGUGUUUUCUCUGAUGCUUCCACCAUGGCCAUUUCAGCAGUGGCAUACUUAAAAACAGUGGACAAGGAGGGCCAUACUCACGUCAGGUUCGUCAUGGGCAAGUCAAAGCUGGCUCCUCAUCCUCAACACACCAUUCCACGGCUGGAGCUUUGCGCUGCCGUACUGGCGGUUGAAAUGGCAGACCUAUUAACAGAGGAACUGGACAUUGAUAUCCACAAGGUCACAUUCUUCACAGACAGCCGGAUUGUAUUAGGCUACAUUCAUAAUACAAACAGAAGAUUUUACGUGUAUGUGACCAACAGAGUUGCUCGCAUCAGGAAAUCCACAAGACCUGAACAGUGGAACUUUGUCAGCACAGAAAACAAUCCUGCAGACCAUGGGACACGCUCUGUGUCAGCAGCCCAGUUGUCACACACCAACUGGUUCCAAGGUCCAACUUUCCUGUCCAGAGACACCUGCUUAAAGCAAGAGACUUUUGAGUUAGUAGAACCUGAUGCCGACGCAGAUAUACGUCCACUGAUCACAGCUUUCAUAACCAAAGCCUCUGUCAAUCGGCUUGGCUCACGGAGAUUUGAGCGCUUUUCAAGUUGGAAAGCCCUCUGCCGAGCUACAGUCCAACUCAUAUACAAAGCCAGGUCUUGCAGUAAAAAUACAAACAGCAAGACAGAAGUAUGGACACAGGCAAAAACAGUUAUCAUCAGAAGUGCCCAACAAGAUGCCUUCUCUGAGGAGAUCAGGUCCCUCUCAAGGGGUGAUGUUGUCUCAAAGUCCAGCACUCUCAGGAAGCUGAACCCUUUUGUUGAUGCAGAAGGCCUUUUGAGAGUUGGAGGGCGUAUGCCUGCAACACACACUCCCUGGGAAGAGAGACACCCAAUCAUUGUCCCCAACAAACAACACAUCGCCACCUUAUUAGUGAGACACUAUCAUGAGCAGGUCGCACAUCAAGGGAGACAUCUAACAGAAGGUGCUCUUCGCUCUGCUGGUUUGUGGCUGAUAGGAGGCAAGAGGUUGGUGUCUAACAUCAUACACAAAUGUGUGAUCUGUAAAAGGCUAAGAGGAAAAGUAGAGGAACAACAGAUGGCUAGCUUACCUGCUGAUCGAGUCAGCCCGGGUCCUCCAUUCACAAGUGUCGGUGUUGAUGUGUUUGGCCCAUGGACUGUCAGCUCACGGCGCACCCGAGGUGGGGUUGCAGAGAAUAAACGCUGGGCUGUCAUCUUCACAUGCAUGGUGACAAGAGCCGUGCAUAUCGAAGUUCUAGAGUCUCUGUCCUCUUCAAGUUUUGUAAACGCCCUAAGAAGAUUCACAGCCAUUCGUGGACCAGUUCGUCUUUUUCGUUCUGAUCAGGGUACUAACUUUGUGGGUGCCUGCAAAGAGCUCCAAAUAAGAUCUGGGGACCCUGAGCUAGCAACUUACCUUCUAGAUAAAGGUAGCACCUGGACAUUCAACCCUCCCCACGCCUCACACAUGGGCGGAGCAUGGGAGAGGAUGAUAGGUGUGGCUCGCAGGAUAUUGGACGCUUUGCUGUUGAAGAGAAACACCUGUCACAUGUCUCACGAGGUUCUGGUCACUCUCAUGUCCGAAGUUAUGGCAAUUAUGAAUGCUAGGCCUCUAGUCCCUGUAUCGUCUGACCCAGAUAUGCCUGCCGUCCUUACACCUGCCAUGCUCUUGACACAGAAAAUUGAGACUGUGUUGCCGCCAUCACCAGGACAAUUUGACCUCAAGGAUCUCCACAGUAAACAAUGGAAGCAGGUCCAAACUUUAGCUGAUGCAUUCUGGAAACGUUGGCGGCAGGAAUACCUGGUGACCCUUCAAGCAAGACAAAAGUGGCAUGUGGACAAACCAAACCUGAACAAAGGAGACGUGGUGCUUCUGAAGGAUGCACAAGCAAAGAGAAAUGAAUGGCCUGUUGGCAUUGUAGUUGAUGUCUUUCCAAGUGAGGACAAAAAAGUUCGGAAGGUGGAUGUUAAGGUAGUCAAGCAGGGCACUCCAAAGGUGUACUUGAGGCCUGUCUCAGAACUUGUGUUGCUUUUGAAAAAUGUAUAAUGGUAUAAUGUGUUAUACCAGGCGAGGAGUGUAUUGCCUUGUUAUGUUUGUGACCAAACUACGACAUCUAGUGUCUAAAAGCUGUAAUAGCAAAGCUUUGAGUUAUUUUGAACCCUUGGUCUUGCCGUAGUUAUGUUGCCAUGGGUACGGACCGUUUUGUUUAUAGUCUAUGGUACGGACAUAAUCCUUCUUAUAUCGCGUUUGGAAAACAUUUGCCUUUUUACAGUUUUUAUGAGUAAAGCUACAAACGGAAAAUCCUGAUUCAGAGUUUUUCUUGGGAAACUGUUAUCUAACUGCCAAGCUGAGAUAGC